rnacentral:rRNA from 1 species
GAUGAACGCUGGCGGCGUGCCUAAUACAUGCAAGUCGAGCGAACAGAUGAGGAGCUUGCUCCUCUGACGUUAGCGGCGGACGGGUGAGUAACACGUGGAUAACCUACCUAUAAGACUGGGAUAACUUCGGGAAACCGGAGCUAAUACCGGAUAAUAUAUUGAACCGCAUGGUUCAAAAGUGAAAGACGGUUUUGCUGUCACUUAUAGAUGGAUCCGCGCCGCAUUAGCUAGUUGGUAAGGUAACGGCUUACCAAGGCAACGAUGCGUAGCCGACCUGAGAGGGUGAUCGGCCACACUGGAACUGAGACACGGUCCAGACUCCUACGGGAGGCAGCAGUAGGGAAUCUUCCGCAAUGGGCGAAAGCCUGACGGAGCAACGCCGCGUGAGUGAUGAAGGUCUUCGGAUCGCAAAACUCUGUUAUUAGGGAAGAACAAAUGUGUAAGUAACUAUGCACGUCUUGACGGUACCUAAUCAGAAAGCCACGGCUAACUACGUG